GACGAACACUGGCGGCGUGCUUAUCACAUGCAAGUCGAACGAUGAACCCGGAGCUUGCUCCGGCGGAUUAGUGGCGAACGGGUGAGUAACACGUGAGUAACCUGCCCUUGACUCUGGGAUAACUGCUAGAAAUGGUAGCUAAUACCGGAUACGACCCUCGGCGGCAUCGCCAGGGGGUGGAAAGAAUUUCGGUCAAGGAUGGACUCGCGGCCUAUCAGCUAGUUGGUGAGGUAACGGCUCACCAAGGCGACGACGGGUAGCCGGCCUGAGAGGGUGACCGGCCACACUGGGACUGAGACACGGCCCAGACUCCUACGGGAGGCAGCAGUGGGGAAUAUUGCACAAUGGGCGCAAGCCUGAUGCAGCAACGCCGCGUGAGGGAUGACGGCCUUCGGGUUGUAAACCUCUUUUAGUAGGGAAGAAGCGAAAGUGACGGUACCUGCAGAAAAAGCACCGGCUAACUACGUGCCAGCAGCCGCAGUAA
rnacentral:rRNA from 1 species